rnacentral:rRNA from 1 species
GACAGAGGGUGCAAACGUUGUUCGGAAUUACUGGGCGUAAAGCGCGUGUCGGCUGCUUCGCAAGUCGGGUGUGAAAGCCCUGGGCUCAACCUAGGAAGUGCACUCGAAACUGCGAAGCUCGAGUCCUGGAGAGGAAGGCGGAAUUCUCGGUGUAGAGGUGAAAUUCGUAGAUAUCGAGAGGAACACCGGUGGCGAAGGCGGCCUUCUGGACAGUGACUGACGCUGAGACGCGAAAGCGUGGGGAGCAAACAGG